CGGCAACGGCCCAAAACUCAAGGGACUUGGCGGUGCUUUAUACCCUUCUAGAGGAGCCUGUUCUAUAAUCGAUAAACCCCGAUAAACCCCACCAAUCCUUGCUAAUGCAGUCUAUAUACCGCCAUCUUCAGCAAACCCUAAAAAGGAACAAAAGUAAGCAUAAUCAUUACACAUAAAAACGUUAGGUCAAGGUGUAACCUAUGGAAUGGAAAGAAAUGGGCUACAUUUUCUACUUUAAGAA
rnacentral:rRNA from 1 species